rnacentral:rRNA from 1 species
CUCCCCGAAAGCUAUUUAGGUAGCGCCUCGUGAAUUCAUCUCCGGGGGUAGAGCACUGUUUCGGCUAGGGGGCCAUCCCGGCUUACCAACCCGAUGCAAACUGCGAAUACCGGAGAAUGUUAUCACGGGAGACACACGGCGGGUGCUAACGUCCGUCGUGAAGAGGGAAACAACCCAGACCGCCAGCUAAGGUCCCAAAGUCAUGGUUAAGUGGGAAACGAUGUGGGAAGGCCCAGACAGCCAGGAUGUUGGCUUAGAAGCAGCCAUCAUUUAAAGAAAGCGUAAUAGCUCACUGGUCGAGUCGGCCUGCGCGGAAGAUGUAACGGGGCUAAACCAUGCACCGAAGCUGCGGCAGCGACACUGUGUGUUGUUGGGUAGGGGAGCGUUCUGUAAGCCUGUGAAGGUGUGUCGUGAGGCAUGCUGGAGGUAUCAGAAGUGCGAAUGCUGACAUAAGUAACGAUAAAGCGGGUGAAAAGCCCGCUCGCCGGAAGACCAAGGGUUCCUGUCCAACGUUAAUCGGGGCAGGGUGAGUCGACCCCUAAGGCGAGGCCGAAAGGCGUAGUCGAUGGGAAACGGGUUAAUAUUCCCGUACUUGGUGUUACUGCGAAGGGGGGACGGAGAAGGCUAUGUUGGCCGGGCGACGGUUGUCCCGGUUUAAGCGUGUAGGUGUGUGUUCCAGGUAAAUCCGGUUCACUUUAACACUGAGGCGUGACGACGAGGCACUACGGUGCUGAAGCAACAAAUGCCCUGCUUCCAGGAAAAGCCUCUAAGCAUCAGGUAACAUCAAAUCGUACCCCAAACCGACACAGGUGGUCAGGUAGAGAAUACCAAGGCGCUUGAGAGAACUCGGGUGAAGGAACUAGGCAAAAUGGUGCCGUAACUUCGGGAGAAGGCACGCUGACACGUAGGUGAAGUGAUUUACUCAUGGAGCUGAAGUCAGUCGAAGAUACCAGCUGGCUGCAACUGUUUAUUAAAAACACAGCACUGUGCAAACACGAAAGUGGACGUAUACGGUGUGACGCCUGCCCGGUGCCGGAAGGUUAAUUGAUGGGGUCAGCGCAAGCGAAGCUCCUGAUCGAAGCCCCGGUAAACGGCGGCCGUAACUAUAACGGUCCUAAGGUAGCGAAAUUCCUUGUCGGGUAAGUUCCGACCUGCACGAAUGGCGUAAUGAUGGCCAGGCUGUCUCCACCCGAGACUCAGUGAAAUUGAACUCGCUGUGAAGAUGCAGUGUACCCGCGGCAAGACGGAAAGACCCCGUGAACCUUUACUAUAGCUUGACACUGAACAUUGAGCCUUGAUGUGUAGGAUAGGUGGGAGGCUUUGAAGUGUGGACGCCAGUCUGCAUGGAGCCGACCUUGAAAUACCACCCUUUAAUGUUUGAUGUUCUAACGUGGACCCGUUACCCGGGUUGCGGACAGUGUCUGGUGGGUAGUUUGACUGGGGCGGUCUCCUCCUAAAGAGUAACGGAGGAGCACGAAGGUUGGCUAAUCCUGGUCGGACAUCAGGAGGUUAGUGCAAUGGCAUAAGCCAGCUUGACUGCGAGCGUGACGGCGCGAGCAGGUGCGAAAGCAGGUCAUAGUGAUCCGGUGGUUCUGAAUGGAAGGGCCAUCGCUCAACGGAUAAAAGGUACUCCGGGGAUAACAGGCUGAUACCGCCCAAGAGUUCAUAUCGACGGCGGUGUUUGGCACCUCGAUGUCGGCUCAUCACAUCCUGGGGCUGAAGUAGGUCCCAAGGGUAUGGCUGUUCGCCAUUUAAAGUGGUACGCGAGCUGGGUUUAGAACGUCGUGAGACAGUUCGGUCCCUAUCUGCCGUGGGCGCUGGAGAACUGAGGGGGGCUGCUCCUAGUACGAGAGGACCGGAGUGGACGCAUCACUGGUGUUCGGGUUGUCAUGCCAAUGGCACUGCCCGGUAGCUAAAUGCGGAAGAGAUAAGUGCUGAAAGCAUCUAAGCACGAAACUUGCCCCGA